CAAGUCGAACGAGAGAUGAGGAGCUUGCUCUUCAAAUCGAGUGGCGAACGGGUGAGUAACGCGUGAGGAACCUGCCUCAAAGAGGGGGACAACAGUUGGAAACGACUGCUAAUACCGCAUAAGCCCACAGCUCGGCAUCGAGCAGAGGGAAAAGGAGUGAUCCGCUUUGAGAUGGCCUCGCGUCCGAUUAGCUAGUUGGUGAGGUAACGGCCCACCAAGGCAACGAUCGGUAGCCGGACUGAGAGGUUGAACGGCCACAUUGGGACUGAGACACGGCCCAGACUCCUACGGGAGGCAGCAGUGGGGAAUAUUGCACAAUGGGGGAAACCCUGAUGCAGCGACGCCGCGUGGAGGAAGAAGGUCUUCGGAUUGUAAACACCUGUUGUUGAGGAAGAUAAUGACGGUACUCAACAAGGAAGUGACGGCUAACUACGUGCCAGCAGCCGCGGUAAAACGUAGGUCACAAGCGUUGUCCGGAAUUACUGGGUGUAAAGGGAGCGCAGGCGGGAGAACAAGUUGGAAGUGAAAUCCAUGGGCUCAACCCAUGAACUGCUUUCAAAACUGUUUUUCUUGAGUAGUGCAGAGGUAGGCGGAAUUCCCGGUGUAGCGGUGGAAUGCGUAGAUAUCGGGAGGAACACCAGUGGCGAAGGCGGCCUACUGGGCACCAACUGACGCUGAGGCUCGAAAGUGUGGGUAGCAAACAGGAUUAGAUACCCUGGUAGUCCACACCGUAAGCGAUGAUUACUAGGUGUGGGAGGAUUGA
rnacentral:rRNA from 1 species